rnacentral:lncRNA from 1 species
CACUUUAUGUACCAAGGUAGCACACUACAAAUGCUAUUUAUUUUUCAUCACUAGCUUUUCAUAGGUUGAGAAGUCACACAGAUCUUUAGAACAAGAACAAAGCAAACAUGAGGUUAAUAACAUACCAGCCAUUGUUAAAGUAUCUCCCACUCAGCCAUUGUUAUACUAAUCUGCUGAUUUGAGUGAAAAAAUACAAAGAAAUUCUGUGGUGAAGAGACCAUGUUAAAUGGCUUCCUUAUCACUUCUUGAAUGAUUCAUUAACCAGAGUAAUUUAAUCUGCCACAAGCCUGGUAAAAUUCCAGUUUAGCAAUGUAAGUGUGCCACCAGCUUUCUAGAAACAUUACAACAGGCUAAUAACAAAAAGUUAAGCAUUAACCAAGAAUGCAACAGAAUAUGAGCUGAGCAGAUUCAAAACAAUGCACCAGCCAAAGCUUCAGAAGAUGGUGCAUGACAUCAAGAAAAAUGAAAGUGGGAUAAUAAACAAGUUCAAAAAGUAAGUUUGCAACACCAAUCCCUAGUUUUAUCAAUGUGGGGAAGUUUGGAUUAUGAGCAUAGAGGUGUGUGGUACUUUAGUGAUGGG